AAGUCGUAACAAGGUUUCCGUAGGUGAACCUGCGGAAGGAUCAUUACCGAGAGUUGUAGGCUUCUGUCGUACCAUCCUCUUACCCAUGUCUUUUGCGUACUACACGUUUCCUCGGCAGGUCCGCCUGCCGUUAGGACAAUUUAAACCAUUUGCAGUUGCAGUCAGCGUCUGAAAAACUUAAUAAUUACAA
rnacentral:misc_RNA from 1 species